UACAGAGGUCCCGAGCGUUGUUCGGAUUCAUUGGGCGUAAAGGGUGCGUAGGCGGCGCGGUAAGUCGGGUGUGAAAUCUCGGAGCUUAACUCCGAAACUGCAUUCGAUACUGCCGUGCUUGAGGACUGGAGAGGAGACUGGAAUUUACGGUGUAGCGGUGAAAUGCGUAGAUAUCGUAAGGAAGACCAGUGGCGAAGGCGGGUCUCUGGACAGUUCCUGACACUGAGGCACGAAGGCCAGGGGAGCAAACAGG
rnacentral:rRNA from 1 species